rnacentral:misc_RNA from 1 species
GAUGAAGAACGUAGCGAAAUGCGAUACGUAAUGUGAAUUGCAGAAUUCAGUGAAUCAUCGAAUCUUUGAACGCACAUUGCGCCCGCCAGUAUUCUGGCGGGCAUGCCUGUCUGAGCGUCGUUUCGACCCUCGCGCCCGGCUUCUGUCGGGGGCGGUGUUGGGGAUCGGCCACACCCUUCAGUGGGAGGCCGGCCCCUAAAUUCAGUGGCGACCACGCUGUAGCCUCCCCUGCGUAGUACUAAAACCACCUCGCAGGCGGAGAGCGGUGCGGCCCGCCGUAAAACCCCCCAACUUUUACAAGGUCGACCUCAGAUCAGGUAGGAAUACCCGCUGAACUUAAGCAUAUCAAUAAGCGGAGGA